UUCAGUUCUCCUUCAGUUCGGACUUGUUUUCAGAUUUAAUUUUAAUUUGUAUUAUUUUAAUUUAUAUGUAAUUAUUUACAAAUCAUUGCUUAUCAGAUACAUCUCGUGCAUAAAAAGUGAUUAUAUAAAAUUCUAAAAUGAAACCUUCAAAUUUCUGACUGACUGUGGAACAUCAGCAGCAAGAGAGGAAACUAGUAAACUCAUGAUGUGUCUGUAUUCAGAGCCCUCUCACUGGCAAGCCUUAAAGUUGCUACGCAUUCCGGGAAUUAACUUUGAUUUUUACCACGCAAAAUAAACGCUACUGCUGAGACCUGAACCGCUCGCUCGAUAUUUGACUCGGAGUACUCUAGAGAUUUUAUGGUAGAGAAUAUUGGAGACUUAGACGAGGAGAAAGUGAAAAAGAUGGCUACCGUUUGUCGAAACAGCCUGGCGGGUGCAGUAUGGGCGGCUUCGGGUGUCGCCGGUCUGAAUGCAGUGAGAUGUAUCCGGAUGUAAUAUUUUCUCUAGUUAGUUCAAUUCAAUUUAUUAUUAUAUUUUCAGUUUAUAUUUUAUAUUUGUAAGAUGAUUUUGUUACCGUAUUCAUUUACUUUACCGUUUAAUUUCCUUAUUCAUUCAUUAUAAUUUGUCUUUAAUUCAUAUUAGUUCGUAAUAUUUUAUUUUGUGGUUUUGGUGUAAAAAUGUAUAUACUUACUGUUUAAAUGUUCUAUAUAAGAAUAGAUGUAUUUGUUUAGGUAUAUUAAGGCGUAAUCGGUAGGUAUAUUUGUCGUAAUAAGUGUAAUUCGUUUAUUUUAAAUGUAUUUCUUUGAUAAACUUCAUUAUAGGUUUUCUGGAUAUUGGAAAUAAUAAAAAUGUUAGUAAAUGCAACUAACAUUCUCACAACACUAACCGGAAGCCAGUGAUAAUAUAAUAAAAUAUACAAACGACCAAGUUACGCCAUUUAACUAGGAAUAUCCGACCUAUUUACUACAAAUGCUACACGUAGAGCAUUGAGCGUAUAGCACGAAGGAAACUUAAUAAAAUGCAAACUCAUAAAUUCGCUAAUGCACAUGAUACUCAUUCUCAUUAUUCAUGAAUCACCAAACCAUAUGAUAAUAUAAGUUUAGUUAAUCAGUACGUCUUCCUUGCCGUGCUAUAUGCUCAAUGAUGUGUGUGACAAAAUGUUUAAUCAAAUCUUCUUUAACUGAGUCGCGAAAUCUCUUCGAGUUGUCUCCAGUACUUUAUAUACCGAUGAUUGGCUCACCGCGUGUAUGUUAUUUUCACAAAUCUUCAUAUAUUUCCUAGAAUUAAGGAUAUAUACAAAUAUUCAUUAGGUAACGUAUUGGUAACGAUGUUGUAGUAUCGGUUUGCAAUAUUUAUUAGCUUAUUUACUAUUCGUAUUACAAUUCUUAUCAGUAAUCAGAACUCGAUACACGAUGGUUCCAGUACUCUUAGAGCCCUUAGUUCUUGUAUCGUAUCUUUUACUUCUAGUCUCGGUAACUGUACUCUCACGCGGUAGGACUUGCGACCUUCUGAUCUUUAUUUAUUGGAAUAAAUUUUUGAAAAGUAGAAUGUCUUAAUCGAAGUAAUAAGUAAUCUACGAGCCUCUCUCAAAGCCCUAUAGUUUACUAGAGCGCCUCUAUUUAAUCUUUCAAAGACGCGCCAAUACGUUUCUUUAAUAAAAAUCUUAUAAUAUAUUUAUUUUUUAACGUAAUUAGUAUGUAAACGUGUUAAGGGUGAUCGAUAUUCCCCGCACUCUUUUACGCUAAAGGCAAACGAACCGUAGUUGUAAAUACAUAGUUCGUACAAGAGUAUUUUAUCUUAGGGUAAGUAAUGUACAUUACAAUAAUAUUUUUUAAAAUUGCUUUAGAAACGUAGUUCUUAGAAUAGGGAUUUUAUAUCCAAGGAUUCCACCGCUGCGGACAUUUAUUUAAAUAUUAUUAUUGAUAUUUAGAUAAAUGCUGUAUCUGAGUGAGGUUGAUGUUGUUUAACUCUUAAGAUUAAUUUAAUUUUAAAGUAAGUAUUAUAGGUACGAUAUCCUUGAACCAUGUUACAACUGAUUCAUAAUUACAUUGAAUCUUGCAAUUUACAAAGUGAACACAUAAAUAAUAGGAAGCCCCAUAUUCACGCAUGCCGUCGAGGCUUGUGGGCAAAACCUCAAUUUUAGUAAUUUUAUAAUUUAAUUAUAUUACAUUAAUUUAAUGAAUCAUUUCCUUUAAUAACUAAUCAAGUUCCAUUAUUUUUCAUUACUUUAACUUUAGUUUUGUCAAUUAAUUUUAAUUUGUAUUAUUAAAAAAAAUCCUUUGGGUACAUUUAAUUGCAAGGGUUUGUAUUUAAAUAAUUUUAUGGUUUUAUUAAAAUUAAUAUUGUUAGUUAGUGUUCAACUUCAUUCUCUCUGUUUUACCACAAUCAUAUUGAAUAUAUUUUAUUUUUCUUUGUUAAGUUUAAGGUUCACAUAUUCGGAGUAAAUUACAAAAUAGUUUUUUGCAUUACUUUAUAAUAUAAUAAUAUUAUCUGGCAUUAGUAUUAAUAUUAUAUUAUCGAUAAUCAAUUUAUUUUAUUCAAGUCAUUAAUUUCAAUUAAUUUAAUCAUAUUCCACUUUUAAGAAUAUAUAGAUAAUAUAUUUCUCGUAAUGUAAGUAAUUAUAUUACUUAAUCGUAAUCUUCGUAAUUAGUAUGUAAACGUGUUAAGGGUGAUCGAUAUUCCCCGCACUCUCUAUCGCUAAAGGCAAAGGAACCGUAGUUGUAAAUACAUAGUUCGUACAAGAGUAUUUUAUCUUAGGGUAAGUAAUGUAUAUUAUAAAACAAAUUUUCCGACAUUUGCUUGAAAACGUAGUUCUUAGAAUAGGGAUUUUAUAUCCAAGGAUUCCACCUGCUGCGGACAUUUAUUUAAAUAUUAUUAUUGAUAUUUAGAUAAAUGUUGUAUCCGAGUGAAGUUAAUGUUAAUUUAAGAAACUAAAAUAAGAAACUUUAUUAUUAUUUAAACCGAAAAUAAAAUAUUGAGUUGUUUCCUAAAAUAAAAAA